rnacentral:rRNA from 1 species
GACGAACGCUGGCGGCGUGCUUAACACAUGCGAGUCGAACGAAGAGCGACGGAAGCUUGCUUCUAUCAAUCUUAGUGGCGAACGGGUGAGUAACGCGUAAUCAACCUGCCCUUCAGAGGGGGACAACAGUUGGAAACGACUGCUAAUACCGCAUACGAUCUAACCUCGGCAUCGAGGAUAGAUGAAAGGUGGCCUCUACAUGUAAGCUAUCACUGAAGGAGGGGAUUGCGUCUGAUUAGCUAGUUGGAGGGGUAACGGCCCACCAAGGCGAUGAUCAGUAGCCGGUCUGAGAGGAUGAACGGCCACAUUGGGACUGAGACACGGCCCAGACUCCUACGGGAGGCAGCAGUGGGGAAUCUUCCGCAAUGGACGAAAGUCUGACGGAGCAACGCCGCGUGAGUGAUGACGGCCUUCGGGUUGUAAAGCUCUGUUAAUCGGGACGAAAGGCCUUCUUGCGAAUAGUGAGAAGGAUUGACGGUACCGGAAUAGAAAGCCACGGCUAACUACGUG